rnacentral:rRNA from 1 species
GAUGAACGCUGACAGAAUGCUUAACACAUGCAAGUCUUUGGCGAAUCUGUGCUUGCACAGGCUAGCCAAGGCGGACGGGUGAGUAACGCGUAAAGAACUUGCCCUGCAGACAGGGAUAACAGACGGAAACGACUGAUAACACCUGAUACAGUUGCCGGCACGCAUGUGCCUGGCAAUGAAAAGAGAUGCUGCAGGAGAGCUUUGCGUCCUAUUAGCUUGUUGGUGAGGUGACGGCUCACCAAGGCGAUGAUAGGGAGCCGGCCUGAGAGGGUGAACGGCCACAAGGGGACUGAGAUACGGCCCUUACUCCUACGGGAGGCAGCAGUGGGGAAUAUUGGACAAUGGGGGCAACCCUGAUCCAGCAAUUCUGUGUGCACGAAGAAGGUUUUCGGAUUGUAAAGUGCUUUCAGCAGGGAAGAAGAAAGUGACGGUACCUGCAGAAGAAGCGACGGCUAAAUACGU